CUCACAUGAUGAGUUUGAUACCGCCCCAGUCUGAUCACUAUGACUGAAAGGUAUUUUCUGAGCUGUG
ensembl:snoRNA SNORD31 Small nucleolar RNA SNORD31